rnacentral:rRNA from 1 species
UACGAAGGGGGCUAGCGUUGUUCGGAAUCACUGGGCGUAAAGCGCACGUAGGCGGAUCUUUAAGUCAGAGGUGAAAUCCCAAGGCUCAACCUUGGAACUGCCUUUGAUACUGGGGAUCUUGAGUCCGGGAGAGGUGAGUGGAACUGCGAGUGUAGAGGUGAAAUUCGUAGAUAUUCGCAAGAACACCAGUGGCGAAGGCGGCUUACUGGCCCGGUACUGACGCUGAGGUGCGAAAGCGUGGGGAGCAAACAGG